CAUGGUUGUCGUCAGCUCGUGUCGUGAGAUGUUGGGUUAAGUCCCGCAACGAGCGCAACCCCACUUGUUAGUUGCCAUCAUUCAGUUGGGCACUCUAGCGAGACUGCCGGUAAUAAACCGGAGGAAGGUGGGGAUGACGUCAAAUCAUCAUGCCCCUUAUGACCUGGGCUACACACGUGCUACAAUGGUUGGUACAACGAGUUGCGAGUCGGUGACGGCGAGCUAAUCUCUUAAAGCCAAUCUCAGUUCGGAUUGUAGGCUGCAACUCGCCUACAUGAAGUCGGAAUCGCUAGUAAUCGCGGAUCAGCACGCCGCGGUGAAUACGUUCCCGGGCCUU
rnacentral:rRNA from 1 species